UGGGGAAUAUUGCACAAUGGGCGCAAGCCUGAUGCAGCCAUGCCGCGUGUGUGAAGAAGGCCUUCGGGUUGUAAAGCACUUUCAGCGGGGAGGAAGGCGUUAAGGUUAAUAACCUUGGCGAUUGACGUUACCCGCAGAAGAAGCACCGGCUAACUCCGUGCCAGCAGCCGCGGUAAUACGGAGGGUGCAAGCGUUAAUCGGAAUUACUGGGCGUAAAGCGCACGCAGGCGGUCUGUCAAGUCGGAUGUGAAAUCCCCGGGCUCAACCUGGGAACUGCAUUCGAAACUGGCAGGCUAGAGUCUUGUAGAGGGGGGUAGAAUUCCAGGUGUAGCGGUGAAAUGCGUAGAGAUCUGGAGGAAUACCGGUAGCGAAGGCGGCCCCCUGGACAAAGAAUGACGCUCAGGUGCGAAAGCGUGGGGAGCAAACAGG
rnacentral:rRNA from 1 species